rnacentral:rRNA from 1 species
GAUGAACGCUAGCGGCAGGCCUAACACAUGCAAGUCGAGGGAGAAGCCUUUCGGGGCAGAAACCGGCGCACGGGUGCGUAACGCGUAUGCAACCUACCUUUUACAGGGGGAUAGCCCGAAGAAAUUUGGAUUAAUACCCCAUAAUAUUAUUGUACGACAUCGUUUGAUAAUUAAAGCUGAGGCGGUAGAAGAUGGGCAUGCGUCCUAUUAGCUAGUUGGAGUGGUAACGGCACCCCAAGGCUACGAUAGGUAGGGGUCCUGAGAGGGAGAUCCCCCACACUGGUACUGAGACAGGGACCAGACUCCUACGGGAGGCAGCAGUGAGGAAUAUUGGUCAAUGGUCGGAAGACUGAACCAGCCAUGCCGCGUGCAGGAAGAAUGCCUUAUGGGUUGUAAACUGCUUUUAUAUAGGGAGAAUAAGGAGUACGUGUACUCUGAUGACGGUACUAUAUGAAUAAGCAUCGGCUAACUCCGUGCCAGCAGCCGCGGUAAUACGGAGGAUGCGAGCGUUAUUCGGAAUCAUUGGGUUUAAAGGGUCUGUAGGCGGGCUAUUAAGUCAGGGGUGAAAUCUUACAGCUUAACUGUGAAAUUGCCUUUGAUACUGGUAGUCUUGAAUAUUUGUGAAGUUUUUGGAAUGUGUAGUGUAGCGGUGAAAUGCUUAGAUAUUACACAGAACACCGAUUGCGAAGGCAGGAGACUAACAAAUGAUUGACGCUGAGAGACGAGAGCGUGGGGAGCGAACAGG